rnacentral:tRNA from 1 species
GCAGAUGUAGCUCAGUUGGUUAGAGCACCUGGAUCACAACCAGGGGGUCCGCGGUUCGAAUCCGUGCAUCUGUACCA